rnacentral:rRNA from 1 species
UACGUAGGUGGCAAGCGUUGUCCGGAUUUAUUGGGUUUAAAGGGUGCGUAGGUGAUCUAUUAAGUCAGUGCUGAAAUAUCCCGGCUUAACCGGGAGGGUGGCAUUGAUACUGAUGGACUUGAGUAAAGUUGAGGUGGGCGGAAUUGACGGUGUAGCGGUGAAAUGCUUAGAUAUCGUCAAGAACACCUAUUGCGAAGGCAGCUCACUAAGCUUUAACUGACACUGAGGCACGAAAGUGUGGGGGUCAAACAGG